rnacentral:rRNA from 1 species
CAAAAACAUCGCUUCUGCAAAAAUCAAAGUAUAGGAGGUCCUGCCUGCCCAGUGACUAAAUUAAACGGCCGCGGUAUUUUGACCGUGCAAAGGUAGCGUAAUCACUUGUUUUUUAAAUAAAGACCUGUAUGAAUGGUGAAACGAGGGCUUAACUGUCUCCCCUUUUUGAUCAGUGAAAUUGAUCUGCCCGUGCAGAAGCGGGCAUUUACCUACAAGACGAGAAGACCCUAUGGAGCUUAAGACAAUAUAAUCAACUGACACCCCUCCCCCUCCAAAAAGGUACAAAGCAAAGCAGUAACUGAUUAAUGUCUUCGGUUGGGGCGACCACGGGGGAAAAAAAAUCCCCCACGUGGAGUGGGAUAUAUCCUAAAACCACGAGGCACACCUCUAAGUCACAGAACCUCUGACCAAAAGAUCCGGCAACUUAGCCGAUCAACGAACCAAGUUACCCUAGGGAUAACAGCGCAAUCCCCUCCAAGAGUCCAUAUCGACAAGGGGGUUUACGACCUCGAUGUUGGAUCAGGACAUCCUAAUGGUGCAGCCGCUAUUAAGGGUUCGUUUGUUCAACGAUUAAAGUCCUACGUGAUCUGAG